rnacentral:rRNA from 1 species
AUGGCGACCGGCGCACGGGUGCGUAACGCGUAUGCAACCUGCCUGUAAUUAGGGAAUAACCCGGUGAAAGUCGGACUAAUACCCUAUAUUCUUCUUUCUCCGCAUGGGGGAGGACGGAAAGAUUUAUUGAUUACAGAUGGGCAUGCGUCCCAUUAGCUUGUUGGUAAGGUAACGGCUUACCAAGGCAACGAUGGGUAGGAGGACUGAGAGGUUGACCCCCCACACUGGUACUGAGACACGGACCAGACUCC